GAGAACAGAAUGAUUUGUUUUUAGGGUAAAUGGAAGUUUGUUCCCAGCCUCUUUUAGUUUCACUUACUGUUUAAAACCAUUGUUUUGCAGCUAUCAGUUGAGGGAUUUGCAGUUGAUAAAAUGGCUGGAGAGGUUAAGGCUUUCUUCGAGAGUCACCCAGCUCCUUCAGCUGAGCGUACCAUCCAGCAGUGUUGUGAAAAUAUUCUGCUGAAUGCUGCUUGGCUAAAGCGAGAUGCCAAGAGCAUCCACCAGUACCUCCUUCAGCGGAAGGUCUCACCACCCACAGUGUGAAUCCUGAGGUGCGGCCAUUGGCGGUUCUGCUGCUUCGCUGCAGGGAUAAGGUGGAGCUACCGAACAGCUGAUUCGUAUGCCAAGAAUUUGGAGUCUUCUUUCAAACCAGUGGGGGCUGGACAAUGAAUGUAGUUAACUGGUUCCUGCUCACACUCCAGAAUUAAAUUCUAUUGAAAAAGGAAAAUCUGCAAUUCAGCAAAAAAUAAAUAAAAAAUAAAAAUGUAAAUACGAUAGUAAUAAAAUAGAGCAUAACGAAACUGUGAAACUUUCUGAAGCCUUGUCAGUGGUUAAAAGUAUUUAACACCCUACUGUUAAUGACAGAUGUUCUGUUUUUAUAACCUACCAAAAGGAAACUAGAGGCUUCUUGGUAAAGAGGAUUUUUGUGAAGUGGGUUCUGCAAGCAGCCUAUAAGCCAAGGGUGGUGUCCAUUUCUGGGAAUGGUUAAACACAAAAGGCUGAUAGCUGGUAUAACAUAGUUGGAGUCAGUGCAUAAUUCCAAGUGGCUUUUUUUUUUUUUUUUUUUUUUGGCACGGGGACUGAUCAGGAAGAUAUAUUCCUGUAUAACUCAAUCUGAACCAAGGAUUGUAGUUUAAUUUUCCUCCUUGCCUUCCCUUCUGUGUGACCCCUUGGCCAAAAAAAAAACAAACAAAAAAAAACAAAAAACAAAAAAACAAAAAAAAACAAAACGUACCCUGUUCUGGUUUUUUUCCUCCCUUUAGUUCCACCCCCAACCCCCAUUCCCCAGUGUCCUUCUUAGAGAUAAAUAAUAAGGAAACAUCUUUCAUAGCCACAUUAAAUAAAGAGAAACUGAUAUA